GAUGGUGUCAUGAGCUCUAGUACCUGUAUCCUAACUGAUUGUGUGGAAGCACAUCAAGUUUGUUGUGUUGAGAACAGAAGAGACAGACAUUACUGCACUGAACAGCGCUUACAACCAUGUCCAUCUCUGACAGCCCUCCGUCCACCAGCUGCAUAUUUACACCCCAAAAUCCAGCCUGCACCUCUUCGGUCAGCACCCUGUCUCUAAACUCUGACUCCACCGGACCGCCACUCAACGCCAUGGCCAAUCAGAUGCCUCCGAUGGACGGAGGUUUCUACGGCCAGUCCAUGGGUCCUCAAGGGCUUCCUAAAUUUCCAGAUCCCCGGAACAUGGAGCAAAUGAUGGGUAUGGGUUACCUGCCCUUCUCCUCCUGUCUGACCUCCACAAACACUGAACAAGCAGGACAGCAGGGUCACACCGCUCAACAGGAUUUCUCUCAGUUUCUCCUGCCGCCUCCUGCAGUGACCCUCCGUCAGUCCGGACAGAAGCGAGGCAUCCGUAAAGACAGCAUUGAAUAUCGUCUUCGCAGAGAGCGCAACAACAUCGCUGUGAGAAAGAGUCGCGAUAAAGCGCGCCGCCGCAUUCAUUUGACCCAGCAGAGGGCGCUGCAGCUGCAAGACGAGAAUCACCGACUGCAGCUGCACAUCCAACGCCUUUCACACGAGGUGGACACGCUCAAACACUAUCUGUCGCAGCGCCACCUACAGGUCAAAGAGCAGGACAUGAGAGGAGAGGACAACUGUUGAGAGCUUUUGGACAGUGAAGAAUCCACCCACUGAAGUCUGCAUUGAUUGGAAAUGUGCUAUUGGCCAACACGAGAACAGUUACAUCUUUCCUCUCUUCAAACGGACACAAUGACACGGUUAUUUGAGUGGAAAGGGUUCAUGCCCAGCGCCCGUGGGACGGAUGAGAUUUCAACACUAUGUGGGACAGUGAGCUGGUGAUAGAGAGCUCGAGUCUUCCUGUGGCUUCCACUGCAGGCACAGGAGAUACUGAUAGUGAGUGAUAGUGGAAGUGGAUGAACUUGCGUGGCUUUAUCUCUCGUGUUGCUGUGGCAGCGGGGUAUCUAGGUGUAGCUGUGUGUAACAGCAGAUGACUGGAGCUGAUAACACAGACCUGCUGAAGCAGUGAUGGGGACAAAUGCUGUAAAUGGUGUGUCCACUGCAGCACGAAAACAUGGCCAUUUGUUGGUUCACAUGAAAGGUGCUGAAGAGUUUGUGUGUUGUAAGUUGAGUCUGUGGAGUAAUCUGUGGUCCCGGGCCUGAAAUCUGGCCACAGUAUUAAGAAAGAGCGUGUUUCAACUGAGUCUGUUACGCAACACAGAGCAAGAGAACGGGCACAGAUCCAAACACCGCUCAUCAUCAUCAUUCAUGUACACAGCUUUUCAUUACAGAUGAUAGAAUCAGAAUAACAAUAUGAGUGGAAUGUACUGAAUAAGAUGCCGUUUAUUUUAAUACCCACUAUCUUUCUACUUGGCAUUUUCUCUUUUUGCUUUAACGUCAGAAGCACUCGAGCCGGCUCCACUAAAUCUGAUGGUUCAUUUUAUUCAGCAUAAUCCAAAAACAGCAUCUGUGCCCGUAUUCAUGAAAAAUCUUAGCGCAAAGACUAGUGACAAAAUUCUACAAAAAUUAAUAGAAAUGUGGGCGUUUCCCCUUAAAAUUACAGAAAAGAUCCUAGUAAAGAAAAAAGUUAUUCAUAAAGCAUCUUAACCCUUAAAAGCGCUCUUAAGGUCCAAAAUUUUAGGAGCAGCGAGGAGGACUUUUAGGAGGCUUAAAGGGGUCAUAAGGCGCGAAUACGUGUUGUUCUCUUUGGAGUGUUAUAAAUCGCCCAUGCAUGUAUUAGACGUGGGAAUAAAAGAUGCAUUCUAUCUAAAAGCGAAUGCUCACCCAGACCUGCCUGAAAUGCCCCGGCGAAUGUACGUCACUUCGUAACAUGAUUGGACUUAAGAACGCCCAAAUGUAAAUGCAAGUGAGGUGGGCGUACUUGUAAAUCUCAUUGUAUCGUCGCUGCCGCAGCCAUGUCGUGGAGACGCUGUGUGUUUCGUUGUGAAAAGAAAGACUCUUUGUUUGCCCUGCCAAAAGAUGAGACAACUAAAAACCAAUGGUUACAUUUUAUUUACAACACUGUUCCAGAAAAGUACAAUCCGAAUGUUCAAGUGUGUGCAGCGCAUUUCACCGAUGAUUGCUUCAUGAACCUGGGAGAGAUCAAGGCCGGCAGUGCACGAAAGCUUUGCUUAAAAAGUGGGGCCGUUCCAACCAUUACAACUUUGCUGGCGCUUCAGAUUCGCAGCCUGGUACAUCUCAGCAGGGCCACAGUUCCGCACAAUUUUCCAUGUCAUCUCGAACAAAAAAUGUUGGAUCUCAAGCGGACAGUACAGAAACACUGCCUGCACCGUCUCCAAUGACGCGAUCCUUCGGCACACAGUUGUCUUGGAGCACAAUAAAGGGAACGUACAAAAGGA